GGGGGGGUUAACACUGACACAGAGGUGGAGGAGAGGGGGGGUUAACACUGACACAGAGGUGGGGGAGAGGGGGGUUAACACUGACACAGAGGUGGAGGAGAGGGGGGGUUAACACUGACACAGAGGUGGGGGAGAGGGGGGGUUAACACUGACACAGAGGUGGAGGAGAGGGGGGGUUAACACUGACACAGAG